rnacentral:rRNA from 1 species
UAGGGAAUCUUCCGCAAUGGACGCAAGUCUGACGGAGCAACGCCGCGUGAGUGAAGAAGGAUUUCGGUUCGUAAAACUCUGUUGUUAGAGAAGAACAGCGCAUAGAGUAACUGUUAUGCGUGUGACGGUAUCUAACCAGAAAGCCACGGCUAACUACGUGCCAGCAGCCGCGGUAAUACGUAGGUGGCAAGCGUUGUCCGGAUUUAUUGGGCGUAAAGCGAGCGCAGGCGGUCAAUUAAGUCUGAUGUGAAAGCCCCCGGCUCAACCGGGGAGGGUCAUUGGAAACUGGUUGACUUGAGUGCAGAAGAGGAGAGUGGAAUUCCAUGUGUAGCGGUGAAAUGCGUAGAUAUAUGGAGGAACACCGGUGGCGAAAGCGGCUCUCUGGUCUGUAACUAACGCUGAGGCUCGAAAGCGUGGGGAGCGAACAGG